rnacentral:ncRNA from 1 species
GAGGUGCCCGGCUUUGCCGGGAGAAUUGGGAAGCCGGUGCAAUUCCGGCGCUGCCCCCGCAACGGUAAGGAUGGGGGAUGCGGCAUAGGCCACUGGAUCAAGACGAUCCGGGAAGGCGCUGCAUCCGGUCCCGCCAAGCCCGGAAACCAGCCUUGGACA